CCCGGAAGUGAUAAUGGACUACAUUUCCCAUGAGGAGGUCACCUCCGCCAUUACUAAUUUACAUUUUAGAAAGAGCCAAUGCGAGUUUAACAGAAGAUGAACGCGACAUACAAGCAGAAGAUGGUGAUGCAGUACAGCAUGCAGUCAAUACAACUGACAGAACAUGUGUGUUUGAAGCUAAACACAUAAACCCCUCUACAGACCUACAUUUCAGAAAAUCUUCUCUGCUCUGUGGCUCUGGUGGUGCAAUGAUCUGAACUGCCGCAGCUGUGGAAAGAAAAAUGGAAAUGAAGACAAAAAGCAUCAUCAGGUUGUGUAAAGGAUGGAAACAGUUUAAAGUGAUACAGUCAGUUUAUUCAUUUUAAAUCAGUAUUUUAGUUAAAAGGUGAGUAAACUGUCUGCAAAAAGAAAGCAGGAGCAUUGCUAAGAAAUAACACUUCACAGAGCAAGUAAAGACGUCCAUUAUUGUGUUUCUCCAGCAGGAACAGCUCCUCUUACCAUGUGAAGGGAUUUUGUUGAAUUCCUCCUCACAGAAUUCCUCGAGUCUCUUUUUCAGAUCUGAGAGAGAAUUUCUCACUCCAUCAAAUGAGAGAUGUUGAUGGACAGUGAUGCUGGAUGUGUGAAAGUCUGGUCUAUGUAGUGGGGGAGACUGACGUCCAGAAGCUACAGAGAGCUACAGAAAGCAAAUUAAAGUUAAAACAGCAUGUGUAAACAAAGAUUCCUGCAGUUACAUUUAUAUAAAAGAAUAAGGAUUUUGUAGUACAGUGAUGCAUCUGUCAGUUUCAGUGCUUUAGCAGAAUUCAUGAUUUUUUUAGUGUUCAUGUUUACAUCCAUCAGUGUUCAUUACAUUACCCAGCAUGCAUUACACAAAUACAUCAUAUAACCAUUUUGACUCUUCCUUAUAUGCCAUCAGUUUUUGAUGUUGUAGCCAUAGAUUUAGGAAAACUGUAGAUACAUUAGUCAGUGUUGGUGGCUACUGUGAUCCUUCAUUGCUCAACUGUCACGAUAAACACAUCAGACAAAUGAAGUCAUAGCUACUCGAUCCCAAAUCAACAAACUAAUAUUACUGAACUUAACUAAGAACUGAAGUCGAGUUAAAGAGAAGCUAAACAGCACUAAACAAUAACAAACAGUAAUAAACUGUGAAGUCCCCUGAUCUCAGGAUAACACCAGACACACUUGUGAUGUCAGACAGGGACAUUUAUUCUUGCUUUAAUGAGAGGUGUUUUAGAGAGUGUGUGAGGAACAGCUGGCUCUGUAAAUCAGACAGUCAGUGUUACCUGGAGGAACUGGAUGUGAUCGUGUGUGUGUGAAAGCUGCUCCAGCUCAGUGACUCUCCUCUGAAGAUCAGCAAUCUCCUGCUCCAGUUGCUCCAGGAGUCGUUCAGCUUGACUCAGUUCAGCCUUCUCCUGAGCUCUAAUCAGCUCCGUCACCUCCGAGUGCUUUUUCUCCAUGGAGCUGAUCAGCUCAGUAAAGAUCCUUUCACUGUCCUCCACUGCUGUCUGUGCACUCAGCUGUUAGGAGACACACACACACACACACACACACACACACACACACACACAAGAUUUAAAGCUCAUCUAUCAUUCCCUCUCUUACUGGGACUCUAAAUGACUCUGUGUCCAUGUUGUGUGUGUUUCUAGGAGCAGCUCUGUCUCUGCUCACUGCUCACCUUUAUAGUGUUCACAGCCUGUUUCAGCUCCUGCACCUUCUUCUGCUUCUCCUUUAUUCUCUGCUGGGAUUUCUUCUGCUCCUCCUUUAACUUACGCUGAGGACACAUCAGUUAUUUUCAGCUCUUUAUGAAUGCAGAAAUCACACUCCACAUCUCCGGGUCCAGCGUAACAGUGAGCAGGAGAAGCAGCUUGGAGUUCAGUCUUCUUCAGUUUCUCCACCACGUCAGCCAACAUGUUGUUUCUGCGUAGAACAGGCCUUGGAGUG